rnacentral:rRNA from 1 species
GGUUCAUUCAAAUUUCUGCCCUAUCAACUUUCGAUGGUAGGAUAGUGGCCUACCAUGGUUUCAACGGGUAACGGGGAAUUAGGGUUCUAUUCCGGAGAGGGAGCCUGAGAAACGGCUACCACAUCCAAGGAAGGCAGCAGGCGCGCAAAUUACCCAAUCCCGACCGGGGAGGUAGUGACAAUAAAUACUGAUACAGGGCUCUUUAGGGUCUUGUAAUUGGAAUGAGUACAAUUUAAAUCCCUUAACGAGGAACAAUUGGAGGGCAAGUCUGGUGCCAGCAGCCGGGGUAAUUCCAGCUCCAAUAGCGUAUAUUAAAGUUGUUGCAGUUAAAAAGCUCGUAGUUG